rnacentral:lncRNA from 1 species
AGAAGUUGGAGAUUUCCACAAGUAAAGGAAGACUAGAAAUGGGGAAUCUGAAUGGACACUACUAGUCCAGUCUCAACUUGAAUGGAUUGACAUGAUAGGUACACGAAUGACCAAACAAACUUAUUCAUAAACGAUCACUUCUAAUUUCUACCUUCUUUUCUCCUUAAUUAACACUAGAUUAUCUCCUAAAUUAGUCACACAAUUAUAUUAUUCCACCCCAC